UACGGAGGGUGCAAGCGUUGUCCGGAUUUAUUGGGUUUAAAGGGUGCGUAGGCGGUCUUUUAAGUCAGUUGUGAAAUCUCCGAGCUUAACUCGGAACGGUCAACUGAUACUGUGCGGCUAGAGUGCGGAAGGGGCAACUGGAAUUCUUGGUGUAGCGGUGAAAUGCGUAGAUAUCAAGAGGAACACCUGCGGCGAAGGCGGGUUGCUGGGCCGACACUGACGCUGAGGCGCGAAAGCCAGGGGAGCGAACGGG
rnacentral:rRNA from 1 species